rnacentral:rRNA from 1 species
CGAACGGGUGAGUAACACGUGAGCAACCUGCCCCAAAGCGGGGGACAACAUUUGGAAACAGAUGCUAAUACCGCAUAAGACCACGAAGCCGCAUGGCUUUGGGGCCAAAGAAGCAAUUCACUUUGGGAUGGGCUCGCGUCCGAUUAGGUAGUUGGUGGGGUAAUGGCUCACCAAGCCUGCGAUCGGUAGCCGGACUGAGAGGUUGAUCGGCCACAUUGGGACUGAGACACGGCCCAGACUCCUACGGGAGGCAGCAGUGGGGAAUAUUGCACAAUGGGGGAAACCCUGAUGCAGCGACGCCGCGUGGAGGAAGAAGGUUUUCGGAUUGUAAACUCCUGUCUUCGGGGACGAUAAUGACGGUACCCGAGGAGGAAGCCACGGCUAACUACGUGCCAGCAGCCGCGGUAAAACGUAGGUGGCAAGCGUUGUCCGGAAUUACUGGGUGUAAAGGGAGCGCAGGCGGAGGGGCAAGUUGGGAGUGAAAACUAUGGGCUCAACCCAUAGAUUGCUUUCAAAACUGCUCUUCUUGAGUGAUGGAGAGGCAGGCGGAAUUCCCGGUGUAGCGGUGGAAUGCGUAGAUAUCGGGAGGAACACCAGUGGCGAAGGCGGCCUGCUGGACAUUAACUGACGCUGAGGCUCGAAAGUGUGGGGAGCAAACAGGAUUAGAUACCCUGGUAGUCCACACCGUAAACGAUGAUUACUAGGUGUAGGGGGGAUAGACCCCCUCUGUGCCGCAGCUAACGCAAUAAGUAAUCCACCUGGGGAGUACGGCCGCAAGGCUGAAACUCAAAGGAAUUGACGGGGCCCGCACAAGCAGUGGAGUAUGUGGUUUAAUUCGACG